GCAGACGACCCGCGAACACGUCAAGAACACUGGGGGGCGCCACACGGCACCCCUUGUCGGUACGCGCAACCUUCGGGAGUGCGCAUCGGCCCCAAACAAACCCCGGCGCGGUCCGCGCCAAGGAAAACAUAACUCAAAGAUCGCCCCCCUUCCUGUCACCCCGUUCGCGGAGCGUGCCUGGUUGGGCGGUUGGUUCUUAGUGAAAUACACAAACGACUCUCGGCAACGGAUAUCUCGGCUCUCGCAUCGAUGAARAACGCACAGUGAUUGCAGAUCCGUGACCAUCGAGUCUUUGAACGCAAGUUGCGCCCGAAGCCAUUAGGCCGAGGGCACGUCUGCAUGGGCGUCACGCAUCGCGUCGCCCCCCUCACCAUAAAAAGGGAAGAGGGGGAGCGGACAAUGGCCUCCCGUGCCCCCAAGCGCGGCUGGCUGAAAUCGGAGUCCCCCGAAGAGGACGCACGACGAGUGGUGGUUUAUUAGAAGGCCCUCGCGUCGAGUCGUGCGCGUGUCCAACUCUGGGAUUUGGCUCUCGCGACCCUGAUGUGCCUUGUACCAAGGCGCUCYGACCGCGACCCCAUGUCAGGCGGGACUACCCGCUGAAUUUAAGCAUAUCAAAA
rnacentral:rRNA from 1 species